GACCUCGUGAUCAUUAAGAUUUUGAACACACAUUGUGCUUUCGGGUAUUCCCGGUAGCAUGCUUGUCUGAGUGUCUGCGGAUCCCACUCAGCGCUGGCCUCGUGCUGGCUGCUGGUUGUUUUGGCUUUGACUGGCACUAUUGCCUGUCUCUGCUUAAGUUCUACUGUAUAGUACGUGCAUAGACGUGGAAGGCUUGACCUGUCUAGUUAAAGACGGCGUUGACACUCUUGUCUAUCUCUGGUAGAUUGUACUUUUAGUAUGAAAUAUCUGGAGUUUACUAUGAGUUUGUUUUCAGCUGUUUUGAAACUGAUGGAACGAGCACUUCUAUGCCUAACAAACUGUUUACAGUCUGUUAUACAUUUCCGGAUCUCAGAUCAAGCAAGAGGACCCGCCGAAUUUAAGCAUAUAAUUAAGCGGAGGAAAAGAAACUAACUAGGAUUCCCUCAGUAACGGCGAGUGAAGCGGGACUAGCUCAGGAUGUGAAUCUGCGCUUUUAUGGCGCCGAAUUGUGGUCUGUAGACUUUGACAUUAUUUGCCGGGCCAAGUUCCUUGGAAAAGGACAGCUGAGAGGGUGACACUCCCGUCCGCCUGGCAGAGUGAGUCAUUUGUCAACGAGUCGAGUUGUUUGGGAUUGCAGCUCUAAUUUGGUGGUAAAUUCCAUCUAAAGCUAAAUAUUGGUGGGAGACCGAUAGCGUACAAGUACCGUGAGGGAAAGAUGCAAAGAACUUUGAAAAGAGAGUUAAAGAGUACCUGAAACUGCUGAAACGGAAGCGAAGGAAACCAGUGUUUGUUUGUUCAUAUUUCCCUAGCCACUUGUGGCUUGGGCGCUGUGGGCUUGCGUGAGUUUGGGUUGGUUGAUUCCUUUGGAAGAGCGCAGUCAGAGUUGAUGUCUGUUGCUAGCACUGGAUUGACUG
rnacentral:rRNA from 1 species